rnacentral:rRNA from 1 species
AUUGAACGCUGGCGGCAGGCCUAACACAUGCAAGUCGAGCGGAUGAAGGGAGCUUGCUCCUGGAUUCAGCGGCGGACGGGUGAGUAAUGCCUAGGAAUCUGCCUGGUAGUGGGGGAUAACGUCCGGAAACGGGCGCUAAUACCGCAUACGUCCUGAGGGAGAAAGUGGGGGAUCUUCGGACCUCACGCUAUCAGAUGAGCCUAGGUCGGAUUAGCUAGUUGGUGGGGUAAAGGCCUACCAAGGCGACGAUCCGUAACUGGUCUGAGAGGAUGAUCAGUCAAACUGAAACUGGGACACGGUCCAGACUCCUACGGGAGGCAGAAGGGGGGAAAAUUGGACAAUGGGCGAAGGCCUGAUCCAGCCAGGCGGCGUGUGUGAAGAAGGUCUUCGGAUUGUAAAGCACUUUAAGUUGGGAGAAAGGGCAGUAAGUUAAUCCCUUGCUGUUUUGACGUUCCAACAGAAUAAGCACCGGCUAACUUCGUG